GACGGACCACACAAACGUUAUUCGGAAUUACUGGGCUUAAAGGGUGCGUAGGCUGUGCGGUAAGUUGGGUGUGAAAUCCCUCGGCUUAACCGAGGAAUUGCGCCCAAAACUACUGUGCUUGAGGAAGACAGAGGUAAGCGGAACUUAGGGUGGAGCGGUGAAAUGCGUUGAUAUCCUAAGGAACACCGGUGGCGAAAGCGGCUCACUGGAUCUUUUCUGACGCUGAGGCACGAAAGCUAGGGUAGCGAACGGG
rnacentral:rRNA from 1 species